rnacentral:tRNA from 1 species
CGGGGCGAAGUGUAGUUUGGUAGCGCGCCUGCUUUGGAGGCAGGAUGUCGGGGAGUCUGAAUCUCUCCACCCCUG